GAGCUACAUGGAUUUGGACUCUUAUCCUCACUAGAAGAGAGGAGAGCACCCAAUGGAAAGGAGGAGAGCAACCAAAGUCUAAGCUAAGAGCAUAGUUUCACAAAGUAUGUCCUCUGGCAUUCAUAGUUUUUGUGGACACACCUGGUACCUGAAAAAAACAAUCUGAAUAUCCAAAACAUCAUUCACUGUUAAAUCCAGGAAACAUCCUUGGAUUUGGAAAUUAUGGAAGGAGGAAUUAUUAUUGGAACUGUACUGAACCUUUAGUUCAAU
rnacentral:lncRNA from 1 species